rnacentral:rRNA from 1 species
GACGAACGCUGGCGGCGUGCUUAACACAUGCAAGUCGAACGAAGUGGCGCACGGGUGAGUAACGCGUAAUCAACCUGCCCUUCAGAGGGGGACAACAGUUGGAACCGACUGCUAAUACCGCAUACUGAAGGAGGGGAUUGCGUCUGAUUCGGUAGUGGGAGGGGUAACGGCCCAACAAGGCGAUGAUCAGUAGCCGGUCUGGGAGGAUGAACGGCCACACUGGGACUGAGACACGGCCCAGACUCCUACGGGAGGCAGCAGUGGGGAAUCUGUCGCAAUGGACGAAAGUCUGACGGAGCAACGCCGCGUGAGUGAUGACGGCCUUCGGGUUUUAAAGCUCUGUUAAUCGGGACGCGGUACCGGAAGAGAAAGCCACGGCUAACUACGUACCAGCAGCCGCGGUAAUUC